rnacentral:rRNA from 1 species
UACGUAGGGGGCGAGCGUUAUCCGGAUUUACUGGGCGUAAAGCGCACGCAGGCGGUCUGCUAAGUUCGGAGUGACAGUCACCAGCUUAACUGGUGAAGGACUUUGAAAACUGGCGGACUUGAGAGCGAGAGAGGGACAUGGAAUUUCGGGUGGAGCAGUGAAAUGCGUAGAUAUCCGGAGGAACACCAAAGGCGAAGGCAGUGUCCUGGCUCGUAUCUGACGCUGAGGUGCGAAAGCUAGGGGAGCGAACGGG